rnacentral:rRNA from 1 species
GACGAACGCUGGCGGCGUGCCUAAUACAUGCAAGUCGAACGAGAGCGACCGGUGCUUGCACUGGUCAAUCUAGUGGCGAACGGGUGAGUAACACGUGGGUAACCUGCCCAUCAGAGGGGGAUAACAUCCGGAAACGGAUGCUAAAACCGCAUAGGUCUUCGAGCCGCAUGGCUUGAAGAGGAAAAGAGGCGCAAGCUUCUGCUGAUGGAUGGACCCGCGGUGCAUUAGCUAGUUGGUGAGGUAACGGCUCACCAAGGCCGUGAUGCAUAGCCGACCUGAGAGGGUGAUCGACCACAUUGGGACUGAGACACGGCCCAAACUCCUACGGGAGGCAGCAGUAGGGAAUCUUCCGCAAUGGACGCAAGUCUGACGGAGCAACGCCGCGUGAGUGAAGAAGGUUUUCGGAUCGUAAAACUCUGUUGUUAGAGAAGAACAAGUGCUAGAGUAACUGUUAGCGCCUUGACGGUAUCUAACCAGAAAGCCACGGCUAACUACGUG